UGUAGGUAUAAGAUAAAAGGAUAUCCAACACAGCACUUUUUCUCUCCUCUCAAGAUCCCAGAAUUCCCCAGGCCAGACAGAACACUGAGACCUCUAGGAAGGGCAUAGAAAAUGAAGAACAGAGGCUAAGAGGCAGAGAGGGGAACCCAGGGGAGAGGAAGACCCAUUUGAGUGUGCCCCACCUCCUCCUCAACACACACCCACACCCUACAGGACUUGAGACUUCCCGCAAACCAAAGGGAGGGCACGGCACGGCGCGGCACGGGCCCCAAGCCAAACCAAAGAGAGAAAACGGAAGGAGAAAGGAGAGGCUGGUCAGACAGAUGCCAGGGAGCUGGGGUUGGAACUCAGAUGAUCAGGCUUGUGUGGCAACCAUCUUACCUACUGAGCCAUCCUGCCAACCAGGCCAGGUGCUUCCAGCUGAAGUUUCAAGGACAACUCUCCUUGGGCUGGCAGGUCACAUGCCUAUCACUGAACCAAGUCUGGAGCCAAGAGAAUAAUAAAAUGCUGUCAUUUUA